GGAAGCCUCCUUGGGCUGUUGCUAAUAGCCAGCAGAAGCAGUCAGUUCCUUCCAGCAGUGUGUGGGUCUCUGCUGCAAAGCAGCAAUUGCCUAAGCAAUCUAUGUUGGCAAGUUUGGAUACUUAAGUACUUCUUAUGCUGCACAACACGCUGGUUGUACCUCACGUUUUGGAAACAGAAUCAGCUGUAGCCCUGCCUUCAAGUACACACUCAAGAGAUCAUCAUAUGCAGAGCAGAGAAAGGAUGUUGAAUGAAUCACAGGCUGGCCAGAAAUGUGCAGGCUGUCCCAUUCUUGGUAUUUCAGGCAGCAGGUCUGUCACACACAGAGGAUUCAUUAUGAUCUGACUAAACUGAAUGAGCACUGCGCUGUGAAAACCAAUGGUUUACCUCCCUGGUGUGAAGGCAGUAUUAGUAUUUCCACUCCCUCCAGAUCGCUCUCCUCCUACCCGUCUGCCGUGACCAAAACCACAUGUUGGCACAAGAUUAGCAGAAAAUAACCACACUGUGACCUGCCUGCCACCCGCUAGUGGAAACUGGGAAUUCACGGGAAUUGAGGGAACUGGAGGCAGUUCACAUGAGUUACACUCUUGGUACCGCAAUUUAUCUUCAAGUUGGUAUUUCAGAGUUUCAUAUAUGUUGUUCAGUUUCCCUGAAAUUAACCUUUACGGAAAAAAAAAAAAAGAGAGAGAAAAACCCGCAGUCUUUCAGGGGGAUCAGAAACCAAUUUCAGGAAGCACUAUCAAGUUUGAUGGUAAAUGCAGCCACUGAAAGUAAAUGCAUUCUUCUGUGUGUGUGUACUGGAUUAAUAUUUUUAUUGAGUUUCAUACAGAAACAAAGAAGGAAAACUGCAGGAUGCUAUGUAACACACUGCUGGAAUACCACAGUGCUAUUUAUUGCAGACUUGUCAGGAGUUGAGUGAUUUUCAGUGUGGUCCAUGAGGAAGCAAGAAGCUUGAACCAGCUUUGAAGUGACCUGGAGCACACUGCUCUGGUCUGGAUGCAAGUCGACUUUUCCAUUUUGCUAAGAACAUCUGCGUGGUGAUCCUCGCCACAAUGCCACCUGCAGCACUUCGGAUGCUGAGGUCAAGCCUGACACGAAGACAGCUGUUUGGCCAGGAGAUGGUCCCAAGGCACUUGCAUCCCAUUCCUUCUAAGGAACCAGAAUGCACUACAUAUCUUUUUGGAUGAAGGACAAUAUUCCUGAGAAAUAUCCAAGGAUCACAGACCCUCUGCUGUUGUUACUCAGCUUAUACACUAUUUUAACUAGACAUUUUCUGAAGUGCUUUGAUGAAGUUCCUGACAAGCCUUUAGCAAAGAAAUCUAAUCUCAUGAAAUAUUUCCUCCUGACCAAAGCAUGGACUUUGUAUGGACUGGGGAGGACACUGGAACAUUUUUAAUGUAUCCUGAAAUUCUGGGUCUCUGGCAAGUCUCUGAAGCCAAGAAAUACCAUAAGAAUGUGCAGGGUAUUACCUGAAAGUGCUCCACCUCUGCUAUGUGAAGUCAUGGCACUGUAUGAGCAUUAGAAAGAGCUCUCCCUGACUGACUGGAAAAUCCAUAUUCCCCGUUAGUAUUUUAACCUCUCCCCAUAGACAUAGGAAGAGAGGAUGUUAACCUAUUUAUAUGGGAAAUCAUUAGAAAAAGCACAAGAUUUAAAUUCACAUUCAUCAGUUUAUUGGGAUUUCUUGGUAUUAUUGUACUAGGUCCUUAAUUGUAUCUGUUUGCCUAUAACAAUUUUCAAGGGAAACAGCCCCAUUACUUGACACUUGAAGAAUUAUAUCAGGGAUACAUGGAUCAUUCUGUAUGGAAGUAAAACCAGAAAGUCAUGUACAAUAUUUUUGGCACCACUGCAUAAACUUAGAGGUUACUCAGGCCAUGCUCCGAGUCAAGGUACAAGACAGGGUAAGGACAGGACAGCUGAAGCAAAGAACCAAAUAGAGGGACAAAUCUAAACUGUCUGCAUACAAGAAUACCCCCAGCCACCUUGCCAAAAGGUUUUUCUGUAAGUAAAGUUGUCUUAGAAUGACUUGUGGGUUGAGGUCAUCACAUGUCACUGCUGACAUGGUUUCUGAAGGUCACCUUGGCAAACUCAAUUUGAUUUGUGUGGUUAAGCCUAAUGCUUUCUCUAGACUCAUUAUCAGAAAAUUUGGCAGUAUAUUGACAUUAUUAUGAACUGAAAUAGAUUUACAGUUAAAACUCAGCGUAGCAUUUCUCUCCAGUGUAAGACAGUUGGUAACAGGACUUAUCACAGAGUCAGAGGACAAACCUGACCUUGCAAGUGAGUCACCACGGACGUCAAACCUCCCGACAACAGCAAUUGAGUGAGAUGUCUACAGAGCUCCUAGAAGAAGCCCUCCAAGCUGGGCACUCUUCCCACUUUCAUAUUCUCAAUUGCCUAAUUCACUGAGAGGGGACAUCAAGGCCUGAAUGCUAUGUUACACUAAUUUUACAUACCAUAAUAUUUCUUCUUAAUUAAUCCAUGAGCAUUUGUGGAGAGGGCUGUAUCUAACUAGCAUAGAUCUUUCUAAAGCUAGAGAAUGCUUCACUAAUAUAUUUGGAUGAAGUUUUUGAUUUACAACCUUAAUUACAGAUGCCAGAAGUUCUACUUUUAAAGGACUUUUAUAUCAGAAAUUGCCAGCUGACUCUCAAGAAAUUCCUAGAAAUUCUGCUGGAGGUGGAAUAUGAUGGAGCUAAUCUAUUCUGAACACAGCUUGUUGAGUACACAAGUAAAACUGGCCAAGGUUUGCAGUAAGUCAGUCUGGGGAAGGAGGAUGUCUGGAUAAAAAAAAAAAAACCUCCAAUUCUUUUUUCACGAGUAGUUGUGGUGGUUUUGUGUUUGCUUUCUUGGCAAAUGUGGAAUAAAUACUCGAGUUCUGAAGUAGAUUGUUAAGCCAUCUAUCAGGAUCUAUCCUUUUCCAGGAAAGGGGAGAGGAACAGAAAUUUGUCUCAUUUCUCAGUGAAUAUAUUGAAAAUUGAAAAAAUACAAGUCAUAUUACCUAUUUCUUGCCCAGAUUUUUGCAGACAUAAGUUAUGUAACUAGCCAAGACCACAGGACAAUCAUGAAACAAUGCAGGAUCUAUCUGUGUGGUAAAAUGAAAUGCAUGUUCAUUAGUUCCUAUUUACUGUGUAUGUGAGCAUUUACAUACUGCAGAAUCCCGAGUCCUUAAUAUUUCAUCAUCAUAUGAGACUGAGUAAUUUAUGAUCUUGACAUUAGACUGGGACAGUAAAAAGAACAGUUGAUUAAAAUAGCAGUCACAGUAGGAAUAUGGAGGCCAACAUAUCAUGCAGUAGGAAAGGCCACAAAAGUCAUUUUUUCAUGGCUGAGCAUUAAUGGUGAUUUAUUCAGAUCGAGGCCUGAUGAUUUCAAGAGUUAAAAAUCCAACCAAGUCAUCUAAAAAUGUCUCCGUGCAUUGUGAAAGAAACAGAACUGCCCACCUGGAUCCAGAUGAGAAGCUGCAAGAGUCUGAUGUACAGUGUCAUCACUUUCUGACCUUUCAGCUUCCUAUGUGCUACUUCUGGAUCCUCUAACAACACUCUGUCUUCGUUCACUUUCAGAACCAGCCCACUUUUCUUCCUUAUAAUUUGGAUUGUUGAAUCUCUCUAUAUUUAAGAAAAUAAAACUGAGGUUUGGAUCCAUUUGACCAUACUAACAGUGAAUUUUAUUCUGUUUCUGUGGACUGAAAAUCAAAGGUGAGGGAACAUUUAAGUCAUUUGCUCCAUCU
rnacentral:lncRNA from 1 species